CCCUAGUUAGCUCAGUUGGUAGAGCGCUCCACCUGUAAUGGAGAGGUCCCGGGUUCGAUACCCGGACCAGGCG
rnacentral:tRNA from 1 species